rnacentral:lncRNA from 1 species
GUUUAAUCCCCUUGGCUGACUUCUCUAGACUCUGCGUGGCAGAAGGGAGCUGGAGGGGAGGUGGGGUUGAGGGAACCCAGGCGUUGGCACCUGCGUCUGUAAUGCUGCUGAUUUGCCCGCACCUCACUCUCCGGAAAGCCAGCUGGGACCUCCCGUGUGAUGUUCAAGGGCCCCACAAAGUUCUGCUCUACCAUGGCCAUGAAAAAGCUCCCUGACUCGGCUCCUGGACAACACCAUCCCUCGGGUUUCCUGUUAUCCUGAGAAUUGAGUGUCUGCAUCCAGGAUAUUUUCUCAGUAUAGACUUCCAGAGGUGGAAUUUCUGGAUCAAAGAAAGUGGACAUUUACAAGAUUCUCAGCACACUGCCAAGUGCACUGCCCUCGAAGCCAGGUAUCUUUUGUCCCAGAGGAGCAGAAAAUGUGUCCACAGGAUGCUGAAGACCUUGCUUCAGAGGUCAGAAGACCUUGUGCAGAGUUCAGUGACAAAGGCGGAUGGGCAGUCUUCAUCCAUGAACCCAACAGAUCUAUUCUGCACUUCUGUUGCAGCGGCUAUGGUCUUCUGCACACACGGCCUCCCGUAACCAAGGCAGAGUCAGGUGGAUUCACAGUUGUGUCAAAAGUGGGCUUUGCUUCUGUCCUAAGGGAUCUGUUAUAGGGUGCUUUUUUCUAUUCAGGCCUCAGCAAUUUCUAGACCAUCUUUCUUCCAGAGUACACCUCUCACUCAUCUUCAAUGUUAACUGCUAACAUGUUUUGCAAACCUGACCAUAUCUGCGCCCUGUUCACUCCUGUAAGUCCUUCCAAGGUCUCUCUCCCACUCACAAGGCAACAUCCAGGCCCUAAAGAAUGGCAGCCAGACCCCCCAUUACCUGGUUCUUUGUAGUCUCUGGAUCCAGCCUCAUCCUGUUCACUUCUGCACAGGACUCACGUUCCAGGUAUAACAGCACACCGGAAGUUUCUACACGCACCUCUGUUUCUCUGCAUUUCUCACCCCUUCAUCCGGCUCACUCCUUCAGAACCAGGCUCAGAAUUCCUCCUCCAAGGAUCCUUCCCUGACCUCACUCAGGCCUUAAGAUCUCCUUCCACUGUGGACUUUCACAGCCUGAGCAGAUUGAACACGUUUUCUAUUGUGGUGAGUGUCCUCCAGGGCAGUGGCUGGGCCUGGCUCGCCUCUAAAUCUCUGGCACUGUGCCUGCAGUGUAGCGUAAACCCAGAGAACAUGUGUGGAAAGAAUGAUGGAAUGCACGAAGGUGCAUCACUGCCCGGAUGCUGAGGUCCGGAUGCUCACCAUCAUCCUGUCCUGACGUCUCCACUUGUCACCCAUAGAGGACAAUGUCUAAUGGACAACAGCUGUGAAUUCAAUGCUCCUUCGCUGGAGGAAGGCACGGCCUGCCCCUGGGGGGUCCACAGAGUGCUCAUAGUGCUCUUCUCCCUCCUCUUCCAGCCCCCCUUCCUCCACCUUCCACUCUCUUCCUCUCCUCUCCACCUCCCAAGACUUGGUGUGUGCGUGUUUGCCCAUCAGCAUUUGUUGCAGGUAUGCUGCAUAAUGCCUUUCUACAUUGGUGCGGAGGGACCAAAGUGGCUCCCUGGCCUGAGGGAACAGCGUUUAUUUGCACGC